rnacentral:rRNA from 1 species
GACGAACGCUGGCGGCGUGCUUAAUACAUGCGAGUCGAGCGAAAAGACGAGGAGUUUGCUCCUCUGACGUUUGCGGAGGACGGGUGAGUAACACGUGGAAAAUCUACCUAUAAGUCUGGGAUCAUUUCGGGACACCGGCGCUAAUCCCGGAUAAUAUACUGCACCGUAUGGUUCAAUAGUGAAAUACGGCUUUGCUGUCACUUAUCGCUGGUUCUGCGCCGUAUUAGCUGGUUGGUAAGUUAAAGGCUUUCCAAGGCAACGAUGCGUAGCCGACCUGCUAGAGUGGUCGGCGGCAUGGGAACGGAGACGGCGUCCAGGCUCCUGCGGGAGGCCGCAGUCGGGAAUCGGCCGCAGUAGUCGGAAGCCUGGCGGAGCGGCGCCGCGUGAGAGAUGGAAGUCUUCGGAUCGUAAUACUCUGUUUUUAGGGAUGAACAGAUGUGGAAGGAACUAUGCACGUCUUGACGGUACCUGAUCAGAAAGCCCCGGCUAACUACGUG